ACUUUUCACCGGCUCCGAUUCGACUCGGAUGAAGCCAGUCGGGAGAGCAAAAUCCGCGAGUCGAAGACUCGGGCGGAAGAGCAAAACGGGGGAGAAGAACGAGGGAAGCAUAGAGAUCAUUGAGCCGGCAGAGCAAUCGUCUCCUCUCGGUCCAUGACGUUCUUCCUCCUUCAACCGCCCUCGCGGCUUCCCCUCCCUCGAUUCCGUGCUCCCUUCUCUCGUCCGCCCUUUUCUUCUUCUUGCAAGACCUUCGCCACCAUCAGGUCGAGCCUUCCCUUCCUUCCGGAGAAGGCCAAGUUCUACGGAGAGCUGGAAGCUGCCGUCGAUGUUGUGGAGAGAGCUUGCCGCCUCUGCGUCGAUGUGAAGAAGUCGCUGCUGUCCGAUAAAGGCCGGAUUCUUGAAAAGAACGAUCAGACGCCUGUAACAAUCGCGGACUUUGGCGUGCAAGCGCUGAUCAGCUUGGAGCUGAAGAGACUUUUUCCAUCUAUACCAUUGGUGGCCGAAGAAGACUCCGGUUUCUUAAGAUCAAAUUCUGGAGAUCUGCAGAGAGUUCAUGGCCACGAUGGUAACUCCCUUGUGAACUUGGUGUUGACUGCAGUUGCUGAUAAAGCCACUGGUGCUGAUGAUCCUUUAACUUCUGAUGUUGUGUUGGAGGCUAUUGAUAGAGGGGGGAAGGAUGCAGUCUCUUUUGAUGCACAGCCUGCUACUUAUUGGGUGCUUGACCCCAUUGAUGGUACUCGGGGUUUCUUGAAGGGCAAUGAUGCACUAUAUGUGGUGGGCUUGGCUCUUGUUGUUGACGGAAAAAUUGUACUAGGUGUGAUGGGCUGUCCGAACUGGAAAGUAGACAUUCUUUCAUCUGGGAUUCAUCAUAGGAAACCUGGUGACUGUGAAACAGGGAUAAUCAUGAUUGCUCAUGAAGGCUGUGGAACAUGGACAAGGAGAUUUUUUUAUGGCAUGGACAAAUUUUUAAGCAUGCAGGGUGGUUGGCAGCAAUGCUUUGUCGAUAGCUGUUAUAUGGUGCAUGAGGCACGUUUUUGUAUCCCUGAUAGUCAAACCUGGGAUUUAAUUCCCCUGUCAGCAUUUUUUAGUUCAACUGUUGAUGAUACCAAAGAUAGAGAUAGAGGAACGAUUCUUCUAUUGCCAACUUGUUGUGGCAGCUUGUGCAAGUACCUUAUGGUGGCAUCUGGAAGAGCUUCUGUUUUCAUUCUGCGAGCCAGGGCUCAAACCAGUAUUAAGGUUUGGGAUCAUGCUGUAGGAGUUAUCUGCAUACAGGAAGCAGGAGGAAAAGUCACGGAUUGGAUUGGAACUGAGCUAGACCUUGCAGCUGAUGAAGCAGGCCGGAGAAUCAUAUACCCGUCAGGUGGUGUGCUUGUGACAAAUGGAAGAUUACACAACCAGCUACUGGAGAUGAUCUCAUCCAAUUUCCAUGUCAUUCGACAUGCAUAAAAUACAUUUUCCGUAACCUCUUAAUUUGGAAUUAUUGAUGAAAGGAAUGAUAUUUCUCAGAGAUAUUGGAUGGCCCUUGGUACCUAAAAGAGUGUUUCAGAGGCAAUUUAUGAGCAAGAAACUUGCUUCAAGAGAAUUUGCACCAGUUUCCACUCACUGGGAGUGGUGAAUGAAGUAAAGAAUCGAUGGGCGCUAUGAAAUUUCAGAAGCUUGUCGAGUUGAGAAUCUAUAAGAUCAGAAGUCUAAUCAGGGAAGAAUGUAUCCGUGGACGCUAAACAUGACCCAUCAUAACAGUGAAGAGCCAACCAAUCACAGGAAAACAUGUAUUGUUUCCCGCACCCACAGCAAACUUGGCAGCUUUUUUCCGAGAGGAGAGAAAGAAAGCAGUAUUCGCGUCCGCAGCUGGACGUAGAUGAGGAUUGCAAGAAAGGUAUGGAUGGAAGGCAUCGAGCGUGAUCAAGUGAGCUUCCUUGGGACGGUGGGCACGCACGCGCUUGGUCGUGUGAAUCGGCGGCGAGGGCAGAUUCCAAGAGCGCACUGCCUCGCAACAGCCUCCCGAGAGAAACCGUGAUCGACGAACAAGCUUGCAAGCUUGAGGUGUCAAUAUCGGGGUAGUCUGCAACCACCAACACACACACACUUACAGGAGAAGAAACGGAGAGAAAAAGUAGAGAUGGGGAGCGAAGGAAGCGCAUACUGUUGGAUGGAUCUGCUGCCGUCGCUUGCCAUGACGAAGCACAUUCUCUCGUAGCAGAGUGACUGUCACCUGUAAUUUGUGUAGCUACUAGUGGACUGCAUCACAAGCUUGACAAAUCAUGGAUUCUAAUACUAGCUCAUCGCACAAAGCUUCGGAUGCUACCCGCAUCGGUCAUUCGCCUUGUAAAUUUGCAGUUGGACAUCGAAGGUUGCCAUUGGCUCGGUGAGUUGCCUGAGGAUUUCGGUGAUGUGAAAAGCUGGCCAUCGGAGGGAUGUGCCUCCUUGACUCGAAUGCUAUGUGGAUGGGUUCGCUGCAGUUGACGAUGCUCUCGGAAGUGGCAUCUCGGAGUUGCAUGCGUUGACAGAUCUUACAGAGCUAUCUCCAUGCAACCGCCGACGAGCGUCAAACUUGGAGGAUGAUCGGAUGGCAAAGCUACCGGAGAAGUGCAUGCUGGCGCAUUUGAAGCUCCGAUGUACAUGGUGUGAUCUGACGCCGCGUCAACGCUGCUGCAGCUACUUGAAUGCCAGUUGUAGCUUGUUUAUUUGAAACCAAGAUAUAGCUCUUAAUUGGAGGUUAAAAUAUUACUUAAAAGUAUUUUUUCUAUCAUUCAAA